GCCUCUGGAAACCGGGAUUAAUACCAAAUAAAAUCAUAAUGACACAUGUCAUAACGAUCAAAACUCCGGUGGUCUAAGAUGGACUCGCGUCCCAUUAGCUAGUUGGUAGAGUAAAAGCCUACCAAGGCGACGAUGGGUAGCCGGCCUGAGAGGGUGAACGGCCACAUUGGAACUGAGAAACGGUCCAA
rnacentral:rRNA from 1 species